rnacentral:tRNA from 1 species
GGUACCGUGGCCAAGUAGUAAGGCGAAGCUCUGCAAAAGCUUUAUGCGUGGGUGCAACUCCCACCGGUACCU